rnacentral:misc_RNA from 1 species
UCUCCGUUGGUGAACCAGCGGAGGGAUCAUUACAGAGUUUUCACAACUCCCAACCCUUGCGAACCGUACCCAUUCUGUUCUCGUUGCUUCCGGCGGGGGGGACGGGGGGGCCCGAAACGGCCUCCCCGCCCCCCCCGCCGGGGGCGGCGGGCCCUACGUACUUUUAUAUCUUAACCACCAGAAACCGCCUGAGAAAACAAACAAAAUAAUCAAAACUUUACACAACGGAUCUCUUGGCAUGAGCUUCGAUGAAGAAAGAAGAAGAUCGGAAGAGCCAAC